UUCCAGACUCCUACGGGAGGCAGCAGUGGGGAAUCUUCCGCAAUGGGCGCAAGCCUGACGGAGCAAUGCCGCGUGAACGAAGAAGGUCUUCGGAUUGUAAAGUUCUGUCCUUAUCGAAGAGAGGGUAUAGAGUGAAAAAUGAUAUACUAGGACGGUAGAUGAGGAGGAAGCCCCGGCUAACUACGUGCCAGCAGCCGCGGUAAUACGUAGGGGGCAAGCGUUAUCCGGAUUCACUGGGUGUAAAGGGAGCGUAGACGGCGACGCAAGUCUGGAGUGAAAGCCCGGGGCCCAACCCCGGGACUGCUCUGGAAACUGCGUCGCUGGAGUACGGGAGGGGCAGGCGGAAUUCCUGGUGUAGCGGUGAAAUGCGUAGAUAUCAGGAGGAACACCGGCGGCGAAGGCGGCCUGCUGGACCGCGACUGACGUUGAGGCUCGAAAGCGUGGGGAGCAAACAGGAUUAGAUACCCGAGUA
rnacentral:rRNA from 1 species